rnacentral:rRNA from 1 species
UACGUAGGGUCCGAGCGUUGUCCGGAAUUACUGGGCGUAAAGAGCUCGUAGGCGGUGUGUCGCGUCGGCCGUGAAAACCUGCAGCUUAACUGUGGGCGUGCGGUCGAUACGGGCAGGCUAGAGUUCGGUAGGGGAGACUGGAAUUCCUGGUGUAGCGGUGAAAUGCGUAGAUAUCUGGAGGAACACCGGUGGCGAAGGCGGCGAUCCUGGACCGACACUGACGCGUGACGGAGCGAAAGCCAGGGGAGCAAAGGCGGGAUUA